UACGGAGGAUCCAAGCGUUAUCCGGAUUUAUUGGGUUUAAAGGGUGCGUAGGCGGAAUGAUAAGUCAGUGGUGAAAGCCUGCAGCUCAACUGUAGAAUUGCCGUUGAUACUGUCAUUCUUGAGUAUAUUUGAUGUGGGCGGAAUGUGUCAUGUAGCGGUGAAAUGCUUAGAUAUGACACAGAACACCGAUCGCGAAGGCAGCUCACAAAACUAUAACUGACGCUGAGGCACGAAAGCGUGGGGAUCAAACAGGAUUAGAUACCCUGGUAGUCCACGCCGUAAACUAUGAUUACUCGAUGUUUGCGAUACACUGUAAGCGUCUAAGCGAAAGCGUUAAGUAAUCCACCUGGGGAGUACGCUCGCAAGAGUG
rnacentral:rRNA from 1 species